rnacentral:sRNA from 1 species
AGGUCAUAAGUCAUGCUGUCACACUGUGCUUGCACAAGGGUGACAGCAUGACUUCAUGACCUGCCCCGCAAUGAGGAUAAAAGCAUGGCGAAGCCAGGCGAUAUCCGAAUUGCGGGUAGAAUUGCGGGAGUGCGAAAGCACGGAGUAAUCCGAAGG